CAAAACCACAAACCAAACUGUAAAAAAAAUAUAAAUCGAAAAACCAAAACCGAUGACCGGUUUCAUGAUUUCAAACAGAACGGCGAUCACCUGGCAUGGCCAUAUGGGUUUGAAAUAAUACUCUAUGGAUUGGGUUGAUAUUUGAAAAGUAACUCACAACGUUUGUUUGUUUCAAUCAAAUUAAACACCUCUCUUUAUCUCUCUCCAAAUCCGGUAACCAUCCACCACCAGCCUUCAACCCACCGUCACCACCAUCCUCGUUGCCACCAUCGCCGGUCGACGCCAACUCAUACUAUUCAAACAACCUCCGCUCCCUCCAUCGCACCUACAAAACCCUAACCCCAGUCCCCAGAACUGCUGCCACUUGACACUACCCUUCCUUACCACCUCCAUCGACUUCUCCGCCACCUCAAACAACUCACCACCACCGGACAGCCACCACCAUGACGGUAUGCCUCUCGUUAUUUGAGGUUUAUAUGCUCUUCUCCAUUAUAAACCUUUGCAGUUCAGAUUUGGAUAUCCAGUUUUGAACUUUCAACUUUGAUCAGGUUUCUCCCUUGACUUUUUUUAUGACUUUCACAUGUUUAAUAAUAUACCUGGUUUUGUAGGGAAACAAGCACUAAACCAUAUAUUUGUUUCUUGAUUUACUGAUGAUUUAUCUUGAUGUCAGACAGACAGGAGGUUUGGUCCAACUGUUUAGGUUUUUUAAUAAAACUUGGAGAUUAAAUCGUUAUUUCUUUCUUUUUCUUGCAAAAAUUCGAUGAAGUGGCAAAUACGUUUAUGAGGGGGUAAAGCUUGACCAGAUCCACAGUAAUGGAUAUGAUGACAAUGUUAAUAUGGAAAAACCCAACAUGUUAAAAACUAAUAUCUUGAUCUAAACAACAGAAUGGAGAAUAAUAUUGAAAAAAUUGAACCAUUUGAUUAAUGUUAUUUUAUUAUUUCCCCCUAUAUAUUAUAUGGGUUCCGAUUUGAACAUGACUAUUUUUGUUAUUGAUAUACCAUUUUGGUGGUGUAGGAGGUGACAGGGGCAUUUUCUAAUUCUUAAUUUCUUAUAGUAGUGAAAUUUGGACCAUAAGGAUCAUUAUUCAUUAAAGUGGCUGAAAUCAAGAACUAAUAAGAGCUACAAGAAGUUGAAGUGAAGCAUGUUACUAUUUAAAAUCAAGUCCUUUUAUCAAGUACAAAGAGGAUAUUUGAAACUUCAGUGUUCAACUUACAAAUCCUGUUUACUUAGCCUCUCCAUUAAUUCGGGGAGUAGUUUGUGGAGCUACUACUUCUUAAUCUUUAUAGAUUAAAGAUUUUAACAUUUUGAUUUACCCUUUUUUAAGAUAACUCUUGAAACCAUAUUAUCAAACACAAAUGUUAAAAUCGGUGUAGAUUCUAAAUAACUUUCUUCACAUUAAAGGUAAAUUCCACUUGGGUGUAGAAGAUGUUGCUAUAGUUUUAUAUACUAAAUGGUUUUCGUACUUUUGUAUUGAUGACAACAUGAGAACUUAUAAGUGAAUGGACUGCCUGUUGCAAUUUUUGAAACUGAUUCAAGUAUAACUCCACAUCUUCAUGUUUAAAAUCUCAAAAAAAAAAAAAAAAAAGGUUUAAAGAUACAAACAAUUGUUAUGGUAAUUAUUUGCAUAGAUAAUUACAUUCUAGAGCGAUUCCUUUUUAUUGGUUUGAAAAUGAAUCAUUGCUUUUGGCAUCGCACUUUUCAGUUUUUCUUCUUAUUAUAUUCUAUUUUAGAAAAUUUACCCAAUUAUAUCGGUGAAAAGUGAUUUGUAUUUGGAUUAUAUUACUAUAAUUAGGUAAAAUUUCAAAAUAUAAAACUCUUAACACGAAGGAAUAGAAGUAUAAUGGUAUAGAAAAUAAAUCAAUGAGUUGAUUAAUGUUAAUCAUUUAAUAAUUCCAUUUAGUUUUUACCUACAUUUGGAUCAUUUCCUAUUGUUGCCCUCCUUCCUGCCUUUGCAAGUAAUUUUGUAUAAUUUUCUUGCUGCUAAUGUCCUAAAUGACCUUUUAUGAUAUACAGUUAUUUCUGUUAAAAGUUAAUAUAAAUAAAUUUGUUGAUUAUUUUCCAAAUUUUUAAGAAAUGAUUUAAAUAUUCAAAAUGCUAUAUUUGGAUAGAUUUUAUAAAGUAGAAUGCUUUGAUAGGAAAAAAAUGAAAGUAGAGUGACGUUUGGGUGAAUUCUCAAAGUGGUAGAUAGCUACAUUUAGACCGAAUGGUAUACCAACGACAAGGGCCAUCGUGGUAUACCUGGCCAUGAAAACGAGUCGUGCUCACUACCCCGGGACAUUCAUGGUCGGGCUUGGUCAUUGUGGCUCGUGUUCCGGACAACGAACGCAAACGGUCAAUCAGACCCUCUUUUUCGAUUUGGAAUGGAUGUAGCCGUUGAAUGACUAUUUUAAAAAAAAAUAAUUUAAUUUUUUAUAAACAAACAUUUUAUAUCUAUAAA